rnacentral:lncRNA from 1 species
GGGAUAUGGCCAAAAAUUGUUGUCCGUUUUUCGGUCUUUCUCGGUAAGUGCCGCAUUUUUGUCUCAGUUUAAAAAAUAAUCAUAUUUUUUCAUAAAAAUAUAAGUUACCGGCAUAUUUCUUCCAUUUCAGCCAUCCUUAUGCGUUUUUACACCUCAAAAUCAUAAAACGGCGCAAGUGUGUCCCCGGCGAAUAUGUGCGCCC